rnacentral:rRNA from 1 species
GGAUCCAGACUUUGAUCCUGGGCUCAGGAUGAACGCUAGCUACAGGCUUAACACAUGCAAGUCGAGGGGCAGCAUGGUCUUAGCUUGCUAAGGCCGAUGGCGACCGGCGCACGGGUGAGUAACACGUAUCCAACCUGCCGUCUACUCUUGGACAGCCUUCUGAAAGGAAGAUUAAUACAAGAUGGCAUCAUGAGUUCACAUGUUCACAUGAUUAAAGGUAUUCCGGUAGACGAUGGGGAUGCGUUCCAUUAGAUAGUAGGCGGGGUAACGGCCCACCUAGUCUUCGAUGGAUAGGGGUUCUGAGAGGAAGGUCCCCCACAUUGGAACUGAGACACGGUCCAAACUCCUACGGGAGGCAGCAGUGAGGAAUAUUGGUCAAUGGGCGAGAGCCUGAACCAGCCAAGUAGCGUGAAGGAUGACUGCCCUAUGGGUUGUAAACUUCUUUUAUAAAGGAAUAAAGUCGGGUAUGCAUACCCGUUUGCAUGUACUUUAUGAAUAAGGAUCGGCUAACUCCGUGCCAGCAGCCGCGGUAAUACGGAGGAUCCGAGCGUUAUCCGGAUUUAUUGGGUUUAAAGGGAGCGUAGAUGGAUGUUUAAGUCAGUUGUGAAAGUUUGCGGCUCAACCGUAAAAUUGCAGUUGAUACUGGAUAUCUUGAGUGCAGUUGAGGCAGGCGGAAUUCGUGGUGUAGCGGUGAAAUGCUUAGAUAUCACGAAGAACUCCGAUUGCGAAGGCAGCCUGCUAAGCUGCAACUGACAUUGAGGCUCGAAAGUGUGGGUAUCAAACAGGAUUAGAUACCCUGGUAGUCCACACGGUAAACGAUGAAUACUCGCUGUUUGCGAUAUACUGCAAGCGGCCAAGCGAAAGCGUUAAGUAUUCCACCUGGGGAGUACGCCGGCAACGGUGCAACUCAAAGGAAUUGACGG